rnacentral:tRNA from 1 species
UCCCUGGUGAUCCAGUGGCUAAGACUCUGCAUUCCCAAUACAGGGAGCCUGGGUUCAAUCCCUGGCCAGGGAA